rnacentral:rRNA from 1 species
UACGGAGGGUGCAAGCGUUAUCCGGAUUCACUGGGUUUAAAGGGUGCGUAGGUGGGUUGGUAAGUCAGUGGUGAAAUCUCCGUGCUUAACAUGGAAACUGCCAUUGAUACUACUGAUCUUGAAUUUUCAGGAGGUAAGCGGAAUAUGUCAUGUAGCGGUGAAAUGCUUAGAUAUGACAUAGAACACCAAUUGCGAAGGCAGCUCGUUACACGAAACAUUGACUCUGAGGCUCGAAAGCGUGGGGAUCAAACAGG